rnacentral:ncRNA from 1 species
GCCGUUGUUCUGAACUGUCGCAAUCCAAUGCGUGCGUUCCCUUUAAAGGAUAGGAACAACGGUUUUU